rnacentral:rRNA from 1 species
UAUCUUUAUGGUAAAUGUGAGAUGCAGUGUAUGGAAUGUCAAAUUUCUAGUAUGAGAAAUUAACGAUUUAAGUCCUUCUUAAAUGAGGCCAUUUACCCAAAGAGGGUGCCAGGCCCGUAUAACGUUAAUGAUUACUAGAUGACAUUUCCAAAGAGUCGUGUUGCUUGAUAGUGCAGCACUAAGUGGGUGGUAAACUCCAUCUAAAACUAAAUAUAACCAUGAGACCGAUAGUAAACAAGUACCGUGAGGGAAAGUUGAAAAGAACUCUGAAUAGAGAGUUAAAUAGUACGUGAAACUGCUUAGAGGUUAAGCCCGAUGAACCUGAAUAUCCAUUAUGGAAAAUUCAUCGUCAUGAUUUUAAUAUUUAUAAUAUUAUAAUAAUGGUGUGCAUUUUUUCCAUAUAAGGACAUUGUAAUCUAUUAACAAACAUAUUUAUUAUAAGAUCAUUGACUUUAGUUUAUUCAAAUUAUUUUGCUUGCAAUUUAACAUAGAAUAAAUGCCUUUGAUUUGAUAAAGUGUUGAUAGAUUUAUUAUAUAUAGUGCUUGAAUAUAUUUAUAUAUUCUAUAAUAGCGUAUUGAUCAAUGAUUUUUAUGUUCAUUAUAUGCACUUAUAUGAUUAACAAUGCGAAAGAUUCAGGAUACCUUCGGGACCCGUCUUGAAACACGGACCAAGGAGUCUAACAUAUUUGCAAGUUAUUGGGAAUUAAAAACCUAAUAGCGAAAUUAACAUAACUUUAUAUAAUGGGAUUAGUUUUUAGGUCUAUUUAUAGUCUAUUAAUUCAAUCCCGGGGCGUUCUAUAUAGUUAUGUGUAAUAAUAUUUAUAUUAUUUAUACCUCUAACUAGAGCGUACCUUGAGCAUAUAUGCUGUGACCCGAAAGAUGGUGAACUAUACUUGAUCAGGUUGAAGUCAGGGGAAACCCUGAUGGAAGACCGAAACAGUUCUGACGUGCAAAUCGAUUGUCAGAAUUGAGU